rnacentral:lncRNA from 1 species
UUGAUUGUAUAUCGUAAAAUUAUAUUUCCACAUGUGACAAACCUCUUUUCGAACACUAAACCUUUCAUUUAUAAUUUAAAUUUCCGUUCAUUUUAUCUUACUCCUUUGAAUAAUUUAAUUUUCAAAACUCCUUCAUCCCUUUGAUUGCUAAUUGAGUUUCGUCAAAUUUAUUAUUCUAAAUCCCUUUGUAUUCCAUCCCGACCUAUUUGCAUACCUUUGUAACCGAAUUGUCACCGAUGUGAGCCUAUCCAAAUUUAAACCUU